UACAGAGGGUGCAAGCGUUAAUCGGAAUUACUGGGCGUAAAGGGCGCGUAGGCGGUGAGAUAAGUUAGAUGUGAAAACUCAGAGCUUAACUUUGAGCGUGCAUUUAAGACUGUCGAGCUAGAGUAGGGUAGAGGGAAGUGGAAUUUCCGGUGUAGCGGUGAAAUGCGUAGAUAUCGGAAAGAACAUCAGUGGCGAAGGCGGCUUCCUGGACUUAUACUGACGCUGAGGCGCGAAAGCAUGGGGAUCAAACAGG
rnacentral:rRNA from 1 species